GGAUGGGCUGGACAUGCCGGGAGAUUAAUUUGGAUUGGUCUGCCAUGUAACACGCGUCUGUCUAUAACGUGAGCUGCUCAGAAUGUGUUGAUAAUCCUUUGUACUGCAGCUUUUUGAAAGAUAAAACUUAAGCCAUCGAGAACUACAAGAGUUUUGCUACUUUUCUCAAGAACAUUGAUGCCCUGAAUUUAGCAGGCACUAUCGACAGAUCAGUUGUAAAAUGUUGUGAUGGGCUACUUUCUGCACACACCACGGAGUGACUUGACACAAUGCUGGCCAAACAAGAUGCAUCUACAAACAAAAUGGAGUUAAAUGGUUCCAAAUCUGUCAUGAAGCGUUCAUCCAUGUAUACAGCACAUGGCCUCACGUGAAUGUAACGGCUGUCUUCGUCGUCCUCAGAUGAAGGGGAAGAGAUAUCAGACCAAAAUGCAGCGUGGUCAAAAAGAAAAGAAGAAUCAUUGUUACAAUGGCUGACUGCAAGCAACACAAGCUACUGACAUGGCUUUUGUAAGUUAUUUUCUGGAUCAGAAAUUAAAACAAAUGAUACUGACAUGAAGGGACAUAUUUUCUUUAUAAAUGGAUCAGCCUCUGUCAUUAGAAGCACAAUGCUGUUUUUUUAAUCAUAAGUUGCAGCUCAAUGUAGUCAUCUACACUGAGUGUACAAAACAUUAGGAACACACAAUUCGUUGAGGCAUGGACUCUCCAAGGUGUCGAAAGUAUUCCACAGGGAUGCUGGCCCAUAUUGACUCCAAUGCUUCCCACAGUUGUGUCAAGUUGGCUGGAUACCUUUUGGGUGGUGGACCAAUCUUGAUUCACACGGGAAACCAUUGAGCUUGAAAAAUCCAGCAGUGUUACAUUUCUUGACACACUCAAACCGGUGCGCCUGGCACUUAAGUAUUUGUCUUGCCCAUUCACCCUUAACCUGUCUCCUCCCAUUAAUCUACACUGAUUGAAGUGGAUUUAACAGGUGACAUCAAUAAGG
rnacentral:lncRNA from 1 species